AUUGAACGCUGGCGGCAGGCCUAACACAUGCAAGUCGAACGGUAACAGGAAGCAGCUUGCUGCUUUGCUGAUGAGUGGCGGACGGGUGAGUAAUGUCUGGGAAACUGCCCGAUGGAGGGGGAUAACUACUGGAAACGGUAGCUAAUACCGCAUAACGUCGCAAGACCAAAGAGGGGGACCUUAGGGCCUCUUGCCAUCGGAUGUGCCCAGAUGGGAUUAGCUAGUAGGUGGGGUAACGGCUCACCUAGGCGACGAUCCCUAGCUGGUCUGAGAGGAUGACCAGCCACACUGGAACUGAGACACGGUCCAGACUCCUACGGGAGGCAGCAGUGGGGAAUAUUGCACAAUGGGCGCAAGCCUGAUGCAGCCAUGCCGCGUGUAUGAAGAAGGCCUUCGGGUUGUAAAGUACUUUCAGCGGGGAGGAAGGGAGUAAAGUUAAUACCUUUGCUCAUUGACGUUACCCGCAGAAGAAGCACCGGCUAACUCCGUG
rnacentral:rRNA from 1 species